rnacentral:rRNA from 1 species
GAUGAACGCUAGCGGCAGGCCUAACACAUGCAAGUCGAGGGGUAACUAGAGUGAUAGCAAUAUUACUUUGGCUAGACCGGCGCACGGGUGCGUAACACGUAUGCAACCUACUUUAUACUGGGGAAUAACUUCGAGAAAUCGGCGCUAAUACCCCAUAACACUGCGGAGAGGCAUCUCUUUGCAGUUAAAGCUCCGGCGGUAUAAGAUGGGCAUGCGUCCAAUUAGCUAGUUGGUGAGGUAACGGCUCACCAAGGCUACGAUUGGUAGGGGUUUUGAGAGGAUGAUCCCCCAAACUGGUACUGAGACACGGACCAGACUCCUACGGGAGGCAGCAGUGAGGAAUAUUGCGCAAUGGACGAAAGUCUGACGCAGCCAUGCCGCGUGCAGGAUGACGGCCCUAUGGGUUGUAAACUGCUUUUGUACGGGAAUAAACCCUUCUACGUGUAGGAGGCUGAAGGUACCGUAAGAAUAAGCACCGGCUAACUCCGUGCCAGCCGCCGCCGUAA